rnacentral:lncRNA from 1 species
CCUUAUGAUAAAAAAUGAUGUAAUUUGGAUGAUGGCGCCCAGACACACACAUCCACUCCCCUUUCCUAAACUGCUGACAACCUAAUGACAGCAUCUCCCGGUCAUAUCCCCAGCCUAUGUCAUAGCAAAAUCCCUGCGUCCUCCUUUAGGACUUCUGCAUGACACAGCCGCUUCUGCAGAGAGGCUGGCUUUUAUUUUUCGGCCAGCCCCGACGGACGUGGCUCAAGGUUAACGCACGCCAGCAGUCCACCGGCAAACGCCCCAUGGUGGAGAUGGCCUCGGGUGCUCUCACGCAGGUGCCCCCAGGAACCUCAGCUGGACCAGCCUCGUUUUGUCCGGUACGUCCAAGGGCCAGAACCGUCUGCUCCGGAGCAGGGAAAUCCCUCUGCAUGAAGGACCGCGUCGCAGCUCGCGAGCGCUCCUGCUCGCCGGGAGAGGGGACAGCAAGGCUGGGGGCAUGUCUGGAGACGCGGCCUCCGCCGGUGCCUUAACGGAGGCGCCGGGGCCACGGCCGGGGCCAGGCCGGCAGAACGCCCACUCACCCGGGGAGAGGAGCCGCAGCAGCUCCAGCGCUGCCCAGCCUCCACCCCGGUAUCGCCGCUCUGCAGCCUCGCGCUGCAUUUGAUCCCCUACAAUACAUGGGAUUUAUCUCUCUCGCUUUCAUGUGCCUUUAAGGAAACACCACUUUUUAUCUCCUUUCUGCUGCUCUUUAUCAUCACAAAGAGUUUCUAAUGAAAUGAGAAAGCGUCUGUUUCUGCAGGCCGGAGCGGCGUGGGUAAUUUCAAUAUAAAACAAACAAGGCGGCUUUCAAAAUUAAAAUUUUAUGUGUGGCAUUUUCUCAUUUAACAGAACGCACAAAGAUGGGCAAAGCCAAUUAACAGGAGGUUGAGACUCAGCGCUCAGCAAAAUUAAACAACGGGAUUCUGCAAGAGGAAUGAUUUGUUCAAAGGGAGCAGGAGGAAGAGACAGAGGAGGAGGGGAAGCAAGGCCGCUCUCAGGAAUUCGCCACCUCUAAAAAAAUCCCCAAAUCCGAACAAAUCUGUAUCCUACUUUGCAUUUCCCAGACAGGCUUCAGAGCCCCUAGGAUUUUCCGCAGUGGAAACCCUGGGGAAUAGCGAGGACAGUGUUUGGGAAGUCCAGCUUCAGGGAGACGGGAAGGUCUUACAUCAGCACUCGGCUGCUGCAGGCACGGGACAGGCGGGCUCCGCACGGCUCUGCCUCCGG